AGUGAACGCUGGCGGUAGGCCUAACACAUGCAAGUCGAACGGCAGCACAGUAAGAGCUUGCUCUUACGGGUGGCGAGUGGCGGACGGGUGAGGAAUACAUCGGAAUCUACUUUUUCGUGGGGGAUAACGUAGGGAAACUUACGCUAAUACCGCAUACGACCUACGGGUGAAAGCAGGGGAUCUUCGGACCUUGCGCGAUUGAAUGAGCCGAUGUCGGAUUAGCUAGUUGGCGGGGUAAAGGCCCACCAAGGCGACGAUCCGUAGCUGGUCUGAGAGGAUGAUCAGCCACACUGGAACUGAGACACGGUCCAGACUCCUACGGGAGGCAGCAGUGGGGAAUAUUGGACAAUGGGCGCAAGCCUGAUCCAGCCAUACCGCGUGGGUGCAGAAGGCCUUCGGGUUGUAAAGCCCUUUUGUUGGGAAAGAAAAGCAGCAGGUUAAUACCCCGCUGUUCUGACGGUACCCAAAGAAUAAGCACCGGCUAACUUCGUG
rnacentral:rRNA from 1 species